UGAGCAAUCUGCCCUUCUCUUUGGAAUAAGCGUUGGAAACGACGUCUAAUGCCGAAUACGACCUCCUUUCGCAUGAUCGGAGGUGGAAAGCUCCGGCGGAGAAGGAUGAGCUCGCGGCCUAUCAGCUAGUUGGUGUGGGUAAUGGCCCACCAAGGCGACGACGGGUAGCCGGCCUGAGGAGGGUGACCCGGCCACACGUGGGACUGAGACACGGCCCAGACUUCGACGGGAGG
rnacentral:rRNA from 1 species